UAACACGUGGGUAACCUACCUCAUAGUGGGGGAUAACAGUCGGAAACGACUGCUAAUACCGCAUAGGACAUGGGAUCACAUGAUUCCGUGAGGAAAGGUGGCGCAAGCUAUCGCUAAGAGAUGGACCCGCGGUGCAUUAGCUAGUUGGUAGGGUAAGGGCCUACCAAGGCAAUGAUGCAUAGCCGACCUGAGAGGGGUGAUCGGCCACAUUGGGACUGAGACACGGCCCAA
rnacentral:rRNA from 1 species